rnacentral:tRNA from 5 species
AAGGGAGACCUAAUUCAGGUAGGAGACGAAAAAAAAGUAGUCGCUACCAAGAAUCAAUCCCAAAAGGUCGGAGCGAGGCGAAAUUGGCUUUCAAACUAGGUUCUGGGUUCAAACAAGACCUGAAUCAGGAACAAGGGCUAUUAGCUCAGGUGGUUAGAGCGCACCCCUGAUAAGGGUGAGGUCCCUGGUUCGAGUCCAGGAUGGCCCACCUGCACAGGUGGCAAAAACAAGAGAAGCGAGGAAUCAGCACCUUAUCUUACUUAUAUAGUAAGAGAGAAUGCUGGCUCUGAGUAAAGAGUCCAGAGGAACCUUGAAAACUGCAUAGAGCUAGGUGAAAAAGCCAAAAAAGAAGACCGCAA